UAACUGUGUUUUCUUUGCUUUCACAUGAUGCACAUUAUUAAAUAACAGCAUCAGAAUUUAGACGUGAUCUUUAUAAACCUGGACGUCACAGUGCAGCUCCGUGCAGUCAGGACAGUAACUUACAUCAUGUAACUUAAAUACUAAAGUAACUUAACUUACAAACUAGAGGUCGACCAACAGGUUUAAGGAGACUGAGAACAAGUUCCUCACGUUCUGUCCUUAAGUAUACUUUUAAGAUAAUUUACUUAAGAAUUUCAAUUUGCUGCUCCUUUAAACUUCCAUUCCGUGACAUUUAACUUCAGUUACUCGGCAGAUUUUGAUUCCUCAGUGUUUGUUUGUAGGCUGUUACUUGUAGCCAGUCAGACUGAAAUGGAGCUGCAAGUCAAAUCACAAACAUCCAGGCAACAAAGGCAACCAAGAGAAGCUCAAAGAGCGAGCGAUCAACAGGAGCGUCAGCACAAAAUCAGCUAACGAGGGGACGAGCAGCAGCCUCGCCCUCCUGCGCCCCUCAGCCUCGUCCUCCCCCACCUCUCCUGCAGCCUCCAGGUGAAAGAGCUCCUUUCUUCGGGCAUCUCUCGUGCAGCUGCCGCCUCCAGUAAACACCUCGGGGUGCGAGGGGCUCUCGUGGCUUCCAGCACCUUCCAAACAAAGACGGCGGUUAUGUGUUGGCCCGGCUUUUAUGUAACCUGGCAGCAGAUAAAUAGAAACCAUGAGAUAAAUGGCCACAGCUGAAGACGACAUGUUGGAAACGUCUGUUUACAUGAACGCCAUCGACG